rnacentral:rRNA from 1 species
GUGCCAGCAGCCGCGGUAAUACCCGCAGCUCAAGUGGUGGUCGCUUUUAUUGAGCCUAAAACGUUCGUAGUCGGCUUUGUAAAUCCUUGGGUAAAUCGGGCCGCUCAACGGUUCGAAUUCUGAGGAGACUACAAAGCUAGGGACCGGGCGAGGUCAGAGGUACUUUCGGGGUAGGAGUGAAAUCCUGUAAUCCCGAAGGGACCACCUGUGGCGAAAGCGUCUGACUUGAACGGCUCCGACGAUGAGGAACGAAGGCUAGGGGAGCAAACCGGAUUAGAUACCCGGGUAGUCCUAGCUGUAAACUCUGCCCGCUUGGUGCGGCCUGUUCUUCGGGAGCAGGCUGUGCCGGAGCGAAGGUGUUAAGCGGGCUGCUUGGGGAGUACGGCCGCAAGGUUGAAACUUAAAGGAAUUGGCGGGGGAGCACCGCAACGGGAGGAUGCGUGCGGUUUAAUUGGAUUCAACGCCGGAAAACUCACCUGAGGCGACCAGCGUAUGUGUGUCAGGCUGAAGACCUUACUCGAACAAAAGCUGGAGAGGUGGUGCAUGGCCAUCGUCAGCUCGUACCGUAGGGCAUUCACUUAAGUGUGAUAACGAGCGAGACCCCCAUCCCUAGUUGCCAACUUUCCCGAAGGGAAAGGUGCACUCUAGGGAGACCGCUUCUGCUAAAGAAGAGGAAGGAGGGGUCGACGGUAGGUCAGUAUGCCCCGAAUCCUCAGGGCUACACGCGCGCUACAAAGGACAGGACAAUGGGUUCCAACCCCGAAAGGGGAAGGUAAUCCCAAAACCUGUUCGUAGUCCGGAUUGAGGGCUGUAACUCGCCCUCAUGAAGAUGGAUUCCGUAGUAAUCGCGGAUCAACAGUCCGCGGUGAAUAUGCCCCUGCUCCUUGCACACACCGCCCGUCAAACCAUCCGAGUCGGUUUUGGGUGAGGCCCUGUCUUUGUGGCAGGUUCGAACCCAAGGUCGGCGAGGAGGGUUAAGUCGUAACAAGGUAUCCGUAGGGGAACCUGCGGCUGGAUCACCUCCUU